rnacentral:rRNA from 1 species
UACGAAGGGGGCUAGCGUUGUUCGGAAUUACUGGGCGUAAAGCGCGCGCAGGCGGUCCUUCAAGUCAGAGGUGAAAGCCCAGAGCUCAACUCUGGAAUGGCCUUUGAGACUAGAGGACUUGGGUACGGGAGAGGUGAGUGGAAUUCCGAGUGUAGAGGUGAAAUUCGUAGAUAUCAGGAGGAACACCUGCGGUGUAGACGGCUUUCUGGACCAUUGCUGACGCUGAGACACGAAAGCGUGGGUAGCAAACAGG